GGCUCAGGACGAACGCUGGCGGCGUGCCUAACACAUGCAAGUCGAGCGAGGAGAUCCUUCGGGAUGAUCCUAGCGGCGGACGGGUGAGUAACACGUGGGCAACCUGCCUCAUAGAGAGGAAUAGCCUUCCGAAAGGGAGAUUAAUACCUCAUAACAUUGCAGUUUCGCAUGGAACAGCAAUUAAAGGAGCAAUCCGCUAUGAGAUGGGCCCGCGGCGCAUUAGCUAGUUGGUGAGGUAACGGCUCACCAAGGCGACGAUGCGUAGCCGACCUGAGAGGGUGAUCGGCCACAUUGGGACUGAGACACGGCCCAGACUCCUACGGGAGGCAGCAGUGGGGAAUAUUGCACAAUGGGGGAAACCCUGAUGCAAGCAACGCCGCGUGAGUGAUGACGGCCUUCGGGUUGUAAAGCUCUGUCUUCAGGGACGAUAAUGACGGUACCUGAGGAGGAAGCCACGGCUAACUACGUGCCAGCAGCCGC
rnacentral:rRNA from 1 species